GACGUAAACAAUGUCUCGACCUUCGACCGUCUCGACUAAUGAUUCGUCAGUCUUUCGCUGCGUACAGUUAACGCUACGACCUACGUUUGGGCUGGUAAACGUCAAAUACAAAUGUCAAAACUGUGAAUUGUCGAUUGUUACUGUGUUGUGUGCUAAUAUUUUGCAGGAGUUUGUGUUUUGGUAAAAUGACUGCUCCUGAAGCUCAUCUGAAGUCGUAUGUAAAACAAAAUUGAUUACAAUUGAUUUAAAAAACGAAUGAGAUUUCGUAGUGAUCUGUGUUGUUGUUAUGAAAUAAACAAUCUCAUUGUUUUCCUUAAUUUUCCCCAGACUUCUACUUGGUACAAUCGAUGUCCAGUUCAACUCAAAUCCUUCUGAUGCAACCGAAUGAUCCGAUCUAAACCACAAAUAAACAGUAUUAUGAGUCGAUACAAUAUUUCCACCAUUCGGUAACUGAUGCCCACAAAAACGACCUAAAGACCGUGCCAAUGUAUUUUUCCCAUCAUGUAUCUAAAAAAAGCCUCAGCAAAACUCUUCUCUAAACAUUUUUGCAUCACCUGUAGCCAAUCAUAACGACACCCGCGUGAUCCUUCAACAUCGAAACGUUUAAAAGUGAUAUUUAACACUUUAGUAACAUUAGUUUCCAAAAUCCAGGCACAACUCAUCGCACUGCUAUAUGUUUGUGACGAACCAGAAGGAAAAACCAAAGUUCCGGUUUCUCCCACAAGACGACCACCACAAGCUUAAAAAAUGUUAUUAUUUUUAUAUUUGUUUUUUUUUUUAGUUUAUUACAUUGUUUUUCCGUUUCGCAACGCAAUCCUGUAUAAGCUGAUGGACACAAACACUGGUAAGAAAUGCCCAAGAACGAAGUGCAAGUUGCGCCGUUUUGGCAAGGGUUAGAAGUACACAAAUCGCGAAACUUUUCACAAUUUUUCCCUAUUGAAACAUUUUAUUAUAAUUUUUUUUAACAGUUUAGUUUUUACCGGCGUAUCGCCUGUUGCAAUGGCACGUGUAAUCGGUUCCGUUGGUAACUCUGCAAAAGCCACGUCUGCAAGGAUUUGGGGUGCAAGGACCUGGGGCUGAAGGCAAUGAACGCACACAACCAUUGCGUCCUAUCCCGUUACCUGUGUAGUCACUGGGACAAAUACAUUCAACGAAAGUGGAACCAAUUCCUGUAAAAAUGUACAUUUCGUUAAUUCUAAUACUAAAAAACAGUAAAGGGAGAAAAAAUUUAUUUGGGUGUAGGACACUCGUUUCAAUUUUGUCACGGUGAGGCGAAUAACUGGUUUAGUAAAUAUUUAUUUACCUCACACGUUGUGUUGCUGAGCAAGUAAUUUGAGUCUUAAAACACUUUACUUGAGGCUACAAAAUUUUAAUAGUUUAGUAAGUUGAAACAAGUAAGUUAGAAGAACCAAAAUUUUUCUUUCAUUAUAUUUGACUGUAAAAUUAUGUCAGUUUUUUAUGUAAGCUGUAAACAGCUACGAAAUGUAAGGUUUCAUUAAAGAACCUUUACUUUAGUCUAUUUUUAUGUAUUUUAAAAAAUAUUUAAAAAAAUCUAACAAUAGUAAAAUUUUUAAUUUAUUAAAGUACUUAAAUAUUGUUGAAGGUUGUAGUUCCACACAACAAAAUUAAAAUCUCUAUUAAAAUUUGCAAUAAUCUCAACAAUAUUUUUCGUACAAACUAUUUUAUUUCGAUCAGAAAUUGAAUAUAGUAUAUUAAGUACAAAGCGAUCAGGAAGUCCUUCUAUCAAGUAGGUGUAUUACUUGAGAACGUAUGUCCGGUGUCGUGUAUUAGCUCAGCCUGCUGUCAAAAUUUAAACUGAAAUUACCUCAAACGUAAACUCUUAGUCGUGACACAAAUAACACCCGAACUCUAGACGAACCGUAAAUGGUGUCACCCUGUAUAUUAAUAUAUUCUAACAAUAAUUUAAUAUGCUUAAUUUUUUUGACAUUUUCCUUUGACAUUAGCUUGAGUUCUGCAGAUGUACGUCCUUUAAUUUCUAAACUUACUUGAUAGAAGGACUUUUCGAUCGCUUUGUACUAGGUGAAGCAAACUUAUCGCGCACUUAAGAAAAUCGCGAUUUCUAAUUAAAUAAAAAAAUAUUGCAUUUUACACGCCUGACUAUACGUUCGAAAGGUAUUUCCCCUAAUUUUUUGGUAAUUUUCCACUUGCAGAUAAAAAUAAUAAUUAAAAAAAGUAAGUUUCUACCAAAAAGUCAAAUUCUAAAUUUUAUACUAAACCACGGGUAUUCACGUCAGAUAAUUGUUUACAAAAUUAGCGAAGAAAAAUACCAAUCAGAUUUUGAAUUAAACGCACUUUUACAUUUUAACUUAAAAAAAUAUUUUUAUUUAUGAGUUGCUAUUUGUAGCGUCGUAAAUUUAGGUGACUGUGAACUGUAAUUGGGAUAAGAUUGUAAAAGAUUUCGUUGGGAUAUUUCAAUGCAGGCAUCAGUUUUAUUGCAAGACUGUAAAUAAGGCGUUUCAAAAAGGUCGGCUACUGGUAACUGAUCCCUUUAUUUUUGUUGGCAAAUUAUACCAUCUUCUAAUAAAUCACGCGUCUGGUUUGCGUCUAAAUAAAAAAGACCGAUUAUUUCACCAGCCAAGUAAAAAUUUAUAAUUUUGAUACUAGCGUUCGAUGGGCUAGCAGGUAAGGAUUCAUUUGGUCUAAAAACUUUGUAGUUUCAUUAAAAGUUAGUGCCCAAAAACUCACAAAACUGCUACGACUUUAUUUAUUAACAAAAAAAUCUAAUAAAAAUCGAGAAUGGUCCUUAUCAAUGUACAGGCUGGUGUGUAAAACUUCAGUAUUUUUUAUUCAUUAGAAGUCGCGAUUUUCUUGGGUGCGCGAUAAGGUUGCCCACCCAGUAUAAAUGCAUAUUGAGGUCUUCAAAACUCGCGCGAUUUUUCGACGGCUACGCCAUCGUGCUUUAAAUAGAGCAAGUGUUGUAAAGACCAGUUAUCCACGAAUACUUUAUUUUAUUUUUUUUUAUUGGUACACUUUGAAAUCAUAAAUACUGAUAUUAAUAUUACAAAAAUUGGAAAUAAUGUUAUGUGAAAUCAUUAUACCUUUCAUUAUCAUGGAAUUGAUUGUGAUUGUAAUAAGAAAUCAUUAAAAAGUUGCCAGUUAUCUUCACGUUUCUUGGGUUGUUGAUGUUGUCAUGGGCACUUUAAAAAACGCGCGAUUUUGAAAGUUAGAUUUACACACGAUAAAAAGUUUUUUAAAAAAGCAAAAUGGAUUACCAAUAAAAAAAUAAUGUUUUUCUAUCAGUGGAGAAUAUUUUUGCUUACAGCUUAGGAUUCUAAAAUUGAUAAAAGCUUUGAGAAAAGCAGUGCUCUAUGCAAGAAAAUAAUUCUGUAUUGUCGUAUUGGUAUAUUACGAUUACAUGAGUCUUAUGACCGUUCACAAAGCUUUUAAAAAUUUUAGAAUCCUAACCUGCAAGCAAAAAUCCUCUGAUAUUUCUGAUAGGAAAACAUACAUUUUUGCACGACUGAGCUCUACUUACUGCGCUUGUUUCCAAGACAGUACGUGGUAUUUUCUAGUUGCUACGUCCAAAGGCGUCGGUAAGCAAAUUAAGCGUCGGUAAGUAAUUUUGUGACGCCUUGGAGAUAGAAACCGGUAACUAUAACGUGCUCACUUGACAAUUAUUUUGAUAUUUAAUUAAUCUUAAAAAAAAAUUAAGGAUCGUGCAAAAAACGCCAUAAGCAUCACGAACGUUAAAGAUUGCCGAUCUCAGAAAAUUGUCUUCGAUCGGUAAAAUCUCCUUACCGUUCUUGAUACUGAAUAUACUAUUACAUUUUAAUGCAGGAUUUAAAUAUUUUUUGCAUUUUAGUCUUUACUUAUUCUAAAUGUCUUUUUCUCUGAAAUUUAGUUUUAAAGCGUAUGUGCGGUUCAGAAUCAGUUACGGAAACGAUAAAAAAACUAACAAUAGCAACAAAAAAUUGUCCUCAAGUUAGGACUGAGUUAUCCGAAAAACUUUGAUACAAAAAUGUAUAGAUUGUAGAAAACAAUUCAUUUUUAGAUUAUAAAUGUUAAUUUAUAAACAAUUUGAUGCCAAUUGAAGCAUGAAAAUGGGGCAAAAUUACAGAAAUAAUUUAUAACAACUAAUUUUGAGAGAAAAUGCAACGCUGGCGUUUACGUAGUUUUGAAACAACUAAUAGUACCCCAUAUGUUACAAUUAUUAGUUUUGCGUUUUAGUUAAAAAAAGAGAUAAUUUCUUAAAAAUAAACAUAAACAUUGAAGAUGAUUUAUGGUAAAUAAGGGACCGUUUUGAAAAAAGAAAGGAAAAUUUUUCAUCGUAGGACUCCAUCAGUUACAAUUUCCGAAGCAUUUUUUUUAAAUUAAUACAAAAUAAAUAAAUACAUAAAUAUGAUGUCCCCGUUUUAUGUAAAAAUGUAGCAAAAAUAACUUGCCCAUUCAGUGUUAUUUACUCACUUGGAUUAUUUCUACAAGUGGCCAAAGGAUGACAACCGCCAUUAUUUACAUUACAAACACCUUGAUAUGAACAUGUGAUUCCGUCUCCUACAUAUCCACUAGGACAACUACCGCAAAAUCUUGAUCCCUACGAAAAAAGUUGUUAAGAAGCAAUACAAUCGAAUUAAUAGUUGUUACAAGUGUAUUAAUACACUGCACCAUGGGAUUAGUGCUACAUCCACCGUUUGAUGUACUGCACUCGUCAAUGUCUGUGCAAUAGUAUCCAUCACCAGUGUACCCUAAAAAAAUUAUUUAAUUUGUAAACUUGACAACAUGCAGAAAUAUGUAACACAAAAAAAGGCGAACGAAUGAAAUAUUAUUUUUUACCAGCUGGACAGCUACCACAGCGGUAAGUUCCGGGUAAGUUAAUACACUGCACAGGUGGAUUAACUGAACAGUGUGGUUUAGUUCCUGUGCAUUCGUUAACAUCUGUAUUACAAGCUGGAGUUUUGCCAUCUGUUGUCCAUCCCUGCAAAAAAUUUAAUAAAUUUUGGAAUUACACUAAAAAAAAUCACCUCGUCACAAAUGCAUUUAUAUCCAACAUCGUUGUAUUGGGUGAUACACGUGCCGUGUCCACAAAGCUCGAAAUUCGAACCUUGGCGACAAUCAACAUUUCGGUUUCUGCAGUGAAGGCCAACCCAACCACGCGAACACAAACACCUGUAGAAAAACGAAAUUUUAGCCUGGAAAUUAAAGUUUUUUUAUGAAAUUAACA